rnacentral:rRNA from 1 species
UCCGGCCGGGAACUCAAAGGAGACUGCCAGUGAUAAACUGGAGGAAGGUGGGGAUGACGUCAAGUCAUCAUGGCCCUUACGACCAGGGCUACACACGUGCUACAAUGGCGCAUACAAAGAGAAGCGACCUCGCGAGAGUAAGCGGACCUCAUAAAGUGCGUCGUAGUCCGGAUUGGAGUCUGCAACUCGACUCCAUGAAGUCGGAAUCGCUAGUAAUCGUGGAUCAGAAUGCCACGGUGAAUACGUUCCCGGGCC